CCCGAGUCGAGCCCCGAGCCCAGCGGAGCCCCAAGCCCCGAGCCGAGCCCAGCCUGCUCGGCUGCGACCGUGGAGGGGUUUUCACUAAAGGAGCGGCCGCUGCACCGGGCGGAGGGUUCAGCCUCUCACACCGAAAAUGCCGGCAAAUAAACUCUCCAAUAGUCGUUUUGAGUUUUAGGAAACAAUGUCCUUUAUCAGGCCUGGGCAACACGAGGGAGCGAUCUCCAUCAAUCAUGUGUAACGAGACAAAAGCCGGUUACAGAAUGUAUUUCUCACUCACAUGCAUAUGGAUAAAUUUCCCCGGAAAUCUUAUGCAUAUUCAGUUACUUUCCAAAUUCUAAUUUUAAUGUUAUGACACUUCACAACAGGCAAAACUCUUGCUAAUUUGGAGCUGGCUCCAGCUCUCUGCCUGACCUUGGAUGUGAGAUAGGAAGAAACUCCAAACAGAGGUGAUUACAGAAGAAGAGACAUCUGCUCAGGACAGAUCAUACUUCACACAAGAUGCUAUCAUCUCUAAAGAAUGAACAGUGUCUGGAAAAUAAAACACUGUCUAAAAGAAAACAUGCUAUGAGAGAAAAAAAACACGCUAUCAGAGAGACGUUCUGUCUAACCUCCAAAAAAUCACAACUACUUAGAGCAAACUUAACUGUACUUCAACUUAAAUCAAAAUAAAAUCACUUUUUGUAAUAGUAACUACUUGUAUCAAAUCUGGCACACUCAUUUUGCCUUGGGUCUGCAGAGAAGCUGGGCUGGGCUUGGCCUUUGAGAGCUGUAGCUGUGACUGCCAGUGCAAGGGCAGUGGUAGUUCUACGACUUCUUGCACUUUCAGUGACUCCCUAUGAGGAAUAUUUGUAUGUUAAUGAUGUUCAGAGUCAGAAGAAAGGAGGAAAGGAGAUGGCAACAAAAAUCUGCAACAAAAGAUAUUGCAGCAAAAAAAUGGCAGAACUGGGAGUGGGAAACAGAAGUGGAAAGCCUGAGCAAAACAUCUUGGAGUAGUGAGUGGAGCAGAAGCAAUAGGAGGGUUUAAAAUCAGGAGAGAGUGGGGAUGGGGCAGACAGAGGGAACUGAAAUGAAAACCAAGCCUGAUGAGCAAAGGGGACUGGGAGAAGGCAGAACAAGGUGCGAGUGAAGCGUUGGAGGCAGCAGUUGAUGGAGGCAGCAGUUGAGUGGGGAGUCAGGAAAACAUUGGGAAGCAGCCGUGUGAUACAAUGCAGGGAUACAGGUUAACUGUGUUUUGUCCUCUCCUUUCUUUCCCGUGAAGUCUUGUUUCAAGCAGUGGAUAGGAUAUAACCUGGGAGGACUCAUUUGGGAGACCUGCUGACCUCUUUUGAGAGUUGGAAGGUGUUCAGAAAAGGAGGCUGGUAGGACAGUAGGGGAAGUGCAAUGUUGACCAGACCAUGGGAUUUUGCCUGGCAGGAUCAAAUUUUAUCCACUGUAGAGGCUUUAUACAAUGAUGCAGAAGGUCUGAAAGAUUUUCUACACAAAACUCUGAGUGAUGGACUAUUCAGCUCUACUUAGAUUAUUCAGAACAUAUCUGUAAAAUGCAUGAAAUACAGAACUCUGAAGACCAUUACAAAGCCUUCCUGGACAUCACCAAGACAGUAUUUUUCAGAUAAUAAUUAUGGACUUUGUCAUCUCUUCUUACCUGGUAGCCUUCCUACUGGGCACUGAGCGAGUAUUACAAGAAGUAUUACAUGCCUUCCCUGUUUUCAGGCCCUCUGCAAGGUGUUUCCUCUUGACAAGCUGGGACACUGGACUUUGCAUUGGCUACAUUCAGUGUAUAAUAUGCUGUGUGAUUUGCCUGUUGUGCUGUCUCCUUCCAUUUGCAUCAUCACUGUUCAGGUAACAAGGCUGCACAGCCUCAUGAGGCUGCAAGAUAUCCUCAGGAUUUGUAAGACAUCUCAUGGGAAAUCCACAAAGCAGAGUUUAGAGGCAGAAGGACUGACUGUUCAGAUGACAGUAGUACAACUACCAUCCAACAACAAAUUCCUUCCACUUACCAACAAAACUAAUUGUACCUUCAAUCAUACACCUUCUUACAUCUGAUAUAACUAAAUAUAUUAAAUUACAUCACAUCAUUAAUCAGUACUUGUAUAUAUCAGUUGCUACAGUAAUUAAAUACUUCACAGAUACAGGGAAAGACUACACCAGUUCUAGCACUUGUAGUGGUGUAACUGCAUUGGUAGUAAGGAUGCUAUAUCACCUUCAUAUUUCAAAACUGGAAAAGCAGUAAAGUAAAAAUGUUGCAGUGCAAACUGUUUAGCAGCAACCAUGUACUGAAUGUUUAAAUGUUGAAUUGUGAAUUGCAAAACAUUUUGAGUAUUAUUAUACUCCUUUUCUUAAAGAAACAAUACUACUUUUCAAGUGAAAUGCAGAGAAUACUUUUGCAUAAGAACAAGAUAGUUGUUUUUUUAUAAUAUCCAAGCCUGGUAUCCUGCAGCCCCCAGGACAAGCCACCAGCAGCGAUAAAUUCCACCUGUUUGUCGGCUGUUGCAAGAGAUUUCACACAACCACGGAGUGGUCACAAUUGGAAAGGACAUCUGGAGAUCAUCUAGUCCAACUCUCUGCUAAAGCAGUUUUACCUACAGCAGGUUGCACAGGAAUAUGUUCAGGAAGGGAUAUGUAGACCUGAACACCAUACGUGAGAAUCUCUAAUCUCUGUAAUUUAUCUGUCAGAAGAAUGGAUUCAGCUGAAGAGUCUGGAUGACUUUCUGCAGUGUGUGCAAUGGUUCUGGCUGUUCCAAAUGUCAAUUAUAAUGAUCUUUGUACCUGAGGUUUUUCUGCCUGGUGUUCUGUACCUUUUCAGUCUUUUGUUUCACAUUUACAAGAAAAAGGAUGGCUUAAAGGACAUUAGUCCAAUGAAGUGUGGGAGAAAAGGCAGCAAAUGGUGACAUAUCUGUGGAAAAUCGUGGCAUAGUAAGUGCUUGAAUAUAGUCUAAUAAAGUGGAGAAAUGGAGGAAAUAUCAAUUCUCCAGUUGCAGAUGUACACAGAGGGAUAUACAGUUGGGCUUAAGCUUCAGAGAGCCUAUGGUACACUAGAAAGGUAUUUGCCAAUAUAUAAAUGGCCAUAUACUCAAAUAAUAUUAAUGGCUUGCAGAACUAGAGGUAUCUCAGUUUUAUCUCCUUGUCACUUUUUUUCAUAACAGCUCGAGCCCACUAAGCAAAUGCAAAUUAUAAGGUCAAGUAGUUUGACAUAUGAUUUUGUGACCAUCUGUGAGAGAUUUUUUUUUUUUUUCCUGUGUCAGAGUCCCCUUUGACACUUAGAUAGGAGUGAUCUGGCACACAAAAAAGUAAUUUUAUGUGGCAACACUGUCUUAGUAAGAAGUAAACUCUUUUAUAGUCCCCCAAAACUUUCAUUCUUAAUUCUUAUUCAGCACAUAACAUUUUUUUCACUUUUAUUUUGAAAUACAAGAGGCCAUCAAUGUUUUCUUUAAAUGAUUGAUGAGCCAAACAAAUGUUUAGAAGGACACAAAGCAAGCAUGCUAUCCAGGCCUGUCAUUUAGGCCUUUUACUUAUAUAUGGUGCGUUUUUGAUCUCCUAUUUACCUUUUCAAAGAAUCUUAAGUCUUUAAGACUUUAAGAUCUUAAGUCCCAGCUUUCUAGUAAUGGACAGCAUCUUCUAAGUAUGCUGUAGUUGUACUCAGAUUGUGUUGUUAGACAAAUCUGUGGGAGAUGUAGGUUCUUGUAAUCAUUGUGGUUGCCUUAGUUGUUAUGUUUUUUCAGCAUUUGAAAUUACAGUGAAACAAUAGCACUGUUAAACAAGAAUUACUUAACUUUCACAGAAGCAAAGCAAAAGUGUUUAAGAGAAAGUCUACUGGAAAACAAAAAAAAAAAGGAUGCUUUUGUCACAGCUCCAUAUCCUUUGAUUCCAGGGCAGAAUAUAAAUUUUAAUGGUUCUUACUUUUAUAGAGUGAAGGGCUCAGUGGGUGGUGGUUUUUUUUUUUUUUGGUUUGUUGUUGGGUUUUUUUUCCUUUCAUUUGGUUUGGUUUUAUGUGUGUGUGUGGUGUUAGUGGGGUUGUGGUAUCUUUUCUUUUUCUGUAUAAACCAGGUCAAAUAAGCUUAUGUGACAUUUUACUAGAGUGGAGAAACUGCCACAGAACAGAUAAAUGGUUUGUUGCACUUCUGGAGAGUGCCAUUUGUUCUUGCUGGUACCUUUAAUUCCUUCAUAAAACAUCUUCUAGCUCAUGCUUGGAGUCAAAAGCCAGAAAGAAUAGAAAGAUAACAGGUAACUUUUAUAAUGCUUGUGCCCUGCGUUUGAUUGUCUGUGGUUCCAUAUGUCUUCACAGCCUAAAUGAGUAUUAUCAGUGCCUGCUGUCUUCAAAGCACCUUUGAAUCCUGUGGGACCCAUAAUUAAUUGGAACAGUACCUGUUUGGUCUUGCCAGUUAUCUGCCACUGUCAGUCUUUGGUUUAACGUUUUAUAUUCCUCUUUUUGUAUGGUAGUACAUUCAGUCAAAUUUUAUCUGGCUACAUAGUCCUAGAUAAUGGACCAGGCCAUUUAUUUUACAAGCUGCCACUAUUCAUUUACACUUUUGGAAGUACUGCUGAUAUAGUUUAAGCCAGAAAAGACCACAUCCUGAGAUUAUGAACACAUUUGGUAUAGCUGCAAAAAUUGAUUUAAAGAUGUGUCGAUUUAAUUCUUUGUUAUUGUAAAGAAUUUUUCCUCUUUGAAUUGGGCUAGUUUUUACAGGUGAAGCCUUUUGUGACUGUUCUGAUAAGGAAGUUUUAUAGUGCUUUAUUACAGCUCUGUUUUGCAGUAUAGCUCUGAAAAUAAUAACUUUAUGCUUUACUGUUGCUUAUGCAUUUUGGCCUGCAAGUUCAUCGGGCUUUCAGCCUUGUAUAAGAGCCCUAGUCAUAGACCUGUUAUAUUCAAUAGUAUGUACACACUGAGUAAAAAGAUUGUUUCUAAUCUAAAGAGUGAGUUGCAAAUUUGCAUAAAGAAUGCAAGACUUCUGUGGAGAUUUAUUAUGCUUUCAGGCCAAAAAGUGAUGUCAAAGAAGGACAAGUCAAAGGACAUGGCCAUAGGAUAGAGGUUAUAGAAGCAAUUAAUUUUUCACCUCACCAACCACUGCUGACCACAAAACAAGAUCCUACUGGUUGAAGUAACUGCAGGGUAACAAAAAUUUAUCUAAUGGAUCUAGCCUUCCAGAAUCAGGGUGGCAAAUUAGGCACAUGCCCUUGCCUGUCUGUAGUAAAACGGUUUAGUUUUAGUGCUUCUGCAAUAAAAGGGUCUUCCAUGUAGGGGUUUUCCACUGGCACUACACUUGCUUCUGCCAAGGUCCUGACCUGCAGGUGGAAGGAUGCCUUUGCUUACAAUUUAACAUCUGAAGCUGGAGAAAGUUGUAGCAGUAAUAGGCUGGCCACUUCGUAGAGCUUCUUUUUAAGCAAAAACUUUAA